rnacentral:rRNA from 1 species
GACGAACGCUGGCGGCGUGCUUAACACAUGCAAGUCGAACGAAGUGGCGAACGGGUGAGUAACGCGUAAUCAACCUGCCCUUCAGAGGGGGACAACAGUUGGAAACGACUGCUAAUACCGCAAACUGAAGGGGGGGAUUGCGGGUGAUUAGCUAGUUGGGGGGGUAACGGCCCACCAAGGGGAUGAUCAGUAGCCGGUCUGGGAGGAUGGACGGCCACAAUUGGACUGGUGCACGGCCCAGACUCCUACGGGAGGCAGCAGUGGGGAAUCUUCCGCAAUGGACGGAAGUCUGACUGAGCAACGCCGCGUGAGUGAUGACGGCCUUCGGGUUGUAAAGCUCUGUUAAUCGGGACGCGGUACCGGAAUAGAAAGCCACGGCUAACUACGUGCCAGCAGCCGCGGUAAUUC